rnacentral:rRNA from 1 species
UACGUAGGUGGCAAGCGUUGUCCGGAUUUAUUGGGCGUAAAGGGAGCGCAGGCGGUGACUUAAGUCUGAUGUGAAAGCCCACGGCUCAACCGUGGAAGGUCAUUGGAAACUGGGUCACUUGAAUAUAGAAGAGGGAAGUGGAAUUCCAUGUGUAGCGGUGAAAUGCGUAGAGAUAUGGAGGAACACCAGUGGCGAAGGCGGCUUCCUGGUCUGUAACUGACACUGAGGCGCGAAAGCGUGGGGAGCAAACAGGAUUAGAUACCCCU